rnacentral:piRNA from 1 species
GAAUAUCCUUUGCACACACAGAAGA